rnacentral:lncRNA from 1 species
UACCCAUGAGUCAUGAUUUACCCUUUCGCCCGAGGUAGCUAAUCUCUUAACCCCCUUCUUUGGGAGGUCGGCAGGGAUCACUAUGAAGCCUUUCAAAGGUUUCGUCUAACAAGUUAGGGCCAUUAGAUUCACUCGGCAGGCAGAUAUAGAGCCCCCUUCCAUGGCACAUAACCCGCAGCCUAUACACACGGACAGAGGCCACACUAUACCCAACGUGUCUAGUCAUUCUUACGCCAUUUAAGGUAACCGCUAACAAGCAAGAAAAAGGUUCUCAUACUAAGCUAAAGCCAGAGCCAUUAUAGCCCUCAUGGUUGCACUGUUGUCCCGGUUAUCACUUACAGAUAAAUCAUCGAGUGGCUAAAAAGUUAUUUUUAUCAUUUAUUACUUAACAUUAAUCUAGUCACAGGAUCAUGGUCACAGAAAUAAAUUCCAAAUGCUAUACUUGCCUUAAUCCAAAUGCUCUUGCUUAUCCUUUUGGUUCUGCUGGUCUCACUUGUCCAAGGCUCUGAUCUUGAUCACCAAAAACUGCUCUCCAUCUAAAUUCGAUCAUCGAUCUUCAUCACACAAACAAUCGGAAACAAACAUACACGAAGCAAACAAGGCUACAAUUAGAACAGUACACCAAUCAUAUAAAAAUAGUAUGAAAAGUUUAUAAAAAGAUUCUACGCAUCACUACGAUCACACGAACGUAAAGAUCACGAAAAUCAGAAUUAAAACGUAGAAGUUAUGAUUUUUCUAAGAUUUCAUAUAGAAAAAUAAUUAAUUAAAUAAUAUCACGAAAAUAAAAAAUUUCAAACUGGUGAAUUAAGUUUAACAUGUAGAGCUCAUUAAUACGAAUCUAACGAAAUUUGAAUGGGUC